rnacentral:rRNA from 1 species
CCUACGGGGGGCAGCAGUGAGGAAUAUUGGUCAAUGGACGAGAGUCUGAACCAGCCACGUAGCGUGCAGGAUGACUGCCCUAUGGGUUGUAAACUUCUUUUAUAUGGGAAUAAAAUGUUCCACGUGUGGGAUUUUGUAUGUACCAUAUGAAUACGGAUCGGCUGACUCCGUGCCAGCAGCCGCGGUAAUACGGAGGAUCCGAGCGUUAUCCGGAUUUAUUGGGUUUAAAGGGAGCGUAGGUGGAUUGUUAAGUCAGUGGUGAAAGUUUGCGGCUCAACCGUAAAAUUGCAGUUGAAACUGGCAGUCUUGAGUACAGUAGAGGUGGGCGGAAUUCGUGGUGUAGCGGUGAAAUGCUUAGAUAUCACGAAGAACUCCGAUUGCGAAGGCAGUUCACUGGACUGCAACUGACACUGAGGCUCGAAAGUGUGGGUAUCAAACAGGAUUAGAUACCCCAGUAGUC